AGAAUCAACGCUGGCGGCGUGCCUAACACAUGCAAGUCGCACGAGAAAGGGUAGCAAUACCUGAGUACAGUGGCGCACGGGUGAGUAACACGUGAAUAAUCUACCUCCGAGUGGGGAAUAACUGAGAGAAAUCUUAGCUAAUACCGCAUAACACUUACGAGUCAAAGCAGCAAUGCGCUUGGAGAGGAGUUCGCGGCAGAUUAGUUAGUUGGCGGGGUAAUGGCCCACCAAGACGAUGAUCUGUAUCCGGCCUGAGAGGGCGCACGGACACACUGGAACUGAAACACGGUCCAGACUCCUACGGGAGGCAGCAGUGGGGAAUUUUGCGCAAUGGGGGAAACCCUGACGCAGCAACGCCGCGUGGAGGAUGAAAUAUCUUGGUAUGUAAACUCCUUUCGAUGGGGAAGAUUAUGACGGUACCCAUAGAAGAAGCCCCGGCUAACUUCGCGCCAGCAGCCGCGGUAA
rnacentral:rRNA from 1 species